rnacentral:rRNA from 1 species
UACGUAGGGUGCGAGCGUUGUCCGGAAUUAUUGGGCGUAAAGGGCUCGUAGGCGGCGCGGUAAGUCGGGUGUGAAAUCUUGGAGCUUAACUCCGAAACUGCAUUCGAUACUGCCGUGCUUGAGGACUGGAGAGGAGACUGGAAUUUACGGUGUAGCGGUGAAAUGCGUAGAUAUCGUAAGGAAGACCAGUGGCGAAGGCGGGUCUCGUGGACAGUUCCUGACGCUGAGGCACGAAGGCCAGGGGAGCAAACGGG